rnacentral:rRNA from 1 species
GUCGAGGGGAAACGGCAUUGAGUGCUUGCACUCUUUGGACGUCGACCGGCGCACGGGUGAGUAACGCGUAUCCAACCUUCCCAUUACUGUGGGAUAACCUGCCGAAAGGCAGACUAAUACCGCAUAGUCUUCGAUGACGGCAUCAGAUUUGAAGUAAAGAUUUAUCGGUAAUGGAUGGGGAUGCGUCUGAUUAGCUUGUUGGCGGGGUAACGGCCCACCAAGGCKACGAUCAGUAGGGGUUCUGAGAGGAAGGUCCCCCACAUUGGAACUGAGACACGGUCCAAACUCCUACGGGAGGCAGCAGUGAGGAAUAUUGGUCAAUGGACGGAAGUCUGAACCAGCCAAGUAGCGUGCAGGAUGACGGCCCUAUGGGUUGUAAACUGCUUUUGUAUGGGGAUAAAGUUAGGGACGUGUCCCUAUUUGCAGGUACCAUACGAAUAAGGACCGGCUAAUUCCGUGCCAGCAGCCGCGGUAAUACGGAAGGUCCAGGCGUUAUCCGGAUUUAUUGGGUUUAAAGGGAGCGUAGGCUGGAGAUUAAGUGUGUUGUGAAAUGUAGACGCUCAACGUCUGAAUUGCAGCGCAUACUGGUUUCCUUGAGUACGCACAACGUUGGCGGAAUUCGUCGUGUAGCGGUGAAAUGCUUAGAUAUGACGAAGAACUCCGAUUGCGAAGGCAGCUGACGGGAGCGCAACUGACGCUUAAGCUCGAAGGUGCGGGUAUCAAACAGGAUUAGAUACCCUGGUAGUCCGCACAGUAAACGAUGGAUGCCCGCUGU